GAAAUGGCUACCACAUCCAAGGAAGGCAGCAGGCGCGUAAAUUGCCCGAAUCCUGACACAGGGAGGUAGUGACAAGAAAUAACAAUACAGGGCUACUUCUAGUCUUGUAAUUGGAAUGAGUACAACUUACAUCUCUUCACGAGGAUCAAUUGGAGGGCAAGUCUGGUGCCAGCAGCCGCGGUAAUUCCAGCUCCAAUAGCGUAUAUUAAAGUUGUUGCAGUUAAAAAGCUCGUAGUCGGAUUUCGGGUCGGGCCGAGCGGUCUGCCGAUGGGUAUGCACUGUUUGGCGCGGCCUUCUUUCCGGAGACCGCGGCUACUCUUAACUGAGCGGGCGUGAGAGACGGAUCGUUUACUUUGAAAAAAUCAGAGUGUUUCAAGCAGGCAGCUCGCUCUUGCAUGGAUUAGCAUGGGAUAAUUGAAUAGGACUCUGGUGCUAUUUUGUUGGUUUCGAACACCGGAGUAAUGAUUAACAGGGACAGUCAGGGGCACUCGUAUUCCGUCGAGAGAGGUGAAAUUCUCAGACCAAUGGAAGACGAACCACUGCGAAAGCAUUUGCCAGGGAUGUUUUC
rnacentral:rRNA from 1 species